AGAGUUUGAUCAUGGCUCAGAUUGAACGCUGGCGGCAGGCCUAACACAUGCAAGUCGAGCGGUAGCACAGAGAGCUUGCUCUCGGGUGACGAGCGGCGGACGGGUGAGUAAUGUCUGGGAAACUGCCUGAUGGAGGGGGAUAACUACUGGAAACGGUAGCUAAUACCGCAUAACGUCGCAAGACCAAAGUGGGGGACCUUCGGGCCUCAUGCCAUCAGAUGUGCCCAGAUGGGAUUAGCUAGUAGGUGGGGUAAUGGCUCACCUAGGCGACGAUCCCUAGCUGGUCUGAGAGGAUGACCAGCCACACUGGAACUGAGACACGGUCCAGACUCCUACGGGAGGCAGCAGUGGGGAAUAUUGCACAAUGGGCGCAAGCCUGAUGCAGCCAUGCCGCGUGUAUGAAGAAGGCCUUCGGGUUGUAAAGUACUUUCAGCGAGGAGGAAGGCGUUAAGGUUAAUAACCUUGGUGAUUGACGUUACUCGCAGAAGAAGCACCGGCUAACUCCGUGCCAGCAGCCGCGGUAAUACGGAGGGUGCAAGCGUUAAUCGGAAUUACUGGGCGUAAAGCGCACGCAGGCGGUCUGUCAAGUCGGAUGUGAAAUCCCCGGGCUCAACCUGGGAACUGCAUUCGAAACUGGCAGGCUAGAGUCUUGUAGAGGGGGGUAGAAUUCCAGGUGUAGCGGUGAAAUGCGUAGAGAUCUGGAGGAAUACCGGUGGCGAAGGCGGCCCCCUGGACAAAGACUGACGCUCAGGUGCGAAAGCGUGGGGAGCAAACAGGAUUAGAUACCCUGGUAGUCCACGCCGUAAACGAUGUCGACUUGGAGGUUGUGCCCUUGAGGCGUGGCUUCCGGAGCUAACGCGUUAAGUCGACCGCCUGGGGAGUACGGCCGCAAGGUUAAAACUCAAAUGAAUUGACGGGGGCCCGCACAAGCGGUGGAGCAUGUGGUUUAAUUCGAUGCAACGCGAAGAACCUUACCUACUCUUGACAUCCAGAGAACUUAGCAGAGAUGCUUUGGUGCCUUCGGGAACUCUGAGACAGGUGCUGCAUGGCUGUCGUCAGCUCGUGUUGUGAAAUGUUGGGUUAAGUCCCGCAACGAGCGCAACCCUUAUCCUUUGUUGCCAGCGAUUCGGUCGGGAACUCAAAGGAGACUGCCAGUGAUAAACUGGAGGAAGGUGGGGAUGACGUCAAGUCAUCAUGGCCCUUACGAGUAGGGCUACACACGUGCUACAAUGGCAUAUACAAAGAGAAGCGACCUCGCGAGAGCAAGCGGACCUCAUAAAGUAUGUCGUAGUCCGGAUUGGAGUCUGCAACUCGACUCCAUGAAGUCGGAAUCGCUAGUAAUCGUAGAUCAGAAUGCUACGGUGAAUACGUUCCCGGGCCUUGUACACACCGCCCGUCACACCAUGGGAGUGGGUUGCAAAAGAAGUAGGUAGCUUAACCUUCGGGAGGGCGCUUACCACUUUGUGAUUCAUGACUGGGGUGAAGUCGUAACAAGGUAACCGUAGGGGAACCUGCGGUUGGAUCACCU
rnacentral:rRNA from 1 species